UGUAAAUAGCUUGUUUAAAGUUUGGGGAAUAUAGAAGGGAGUUAAGAAAAAUAAUUUUUAUAAUUUUAGUAAUUUUUAAUGAAAAUUAAGUAAAGACUAAAGAGAAAAGUACUGUGAAGGAAAGUUGUUGAGAUUUUAUAUAGAAAAAGUAAAAUUUUGUGCCUCGUGUAUCAGAAAAAAUUUAUAUAAUUUAGUUAAUGGUAAGUAUCUCGAAAUAAAAUAUAGUAAUUUUUAUAAAAUUUUCUUUUUAGAAAAAAAGAAUUUAAUAUAAAAUUUAAAGUGAAAUGCUAGCUGAGUUUUAUGAUAUCUAGUUUUUUAAAAAAUAAAUUUAAUUUAAUUUUUACGAAGAAAGAAUUGUAAAAUUAAAUGGUAGGGGGGAUUAGCUCUUUACGGAAAAGUCAAUGAAAUAGGUAGAUAUAAAGAAAUUAUAUAAAUUAGGCUUAGAAGUAGCUAUAUUGAAAAAGUGUUUUAACUAAAUUAUAAUUACUUGAAUAUUUAAGAUAACUUUUGUUAGGUAUUAAAAAAACGGUUUAAACAAAAUAAAACGAAAUAUAAUGAUUUUAUUAGUAAAAUUUAUUAAGUAAAUAAAAAUGUUAAAGGGUAAAAAUUAUUUAAAAGAUAAAUAUUAAUAAAAAGGAAUUCAGCAAAAAUUUUCUUUGCCUGUUUAUCAAAAACAUGUCUUUUUGAAAGUAAAAAAAGUCAAGCCUGCCCGCUGAUGAAUUUUAAGGGCCGCGGUAUUUUGACCGUGCGAAGGUAGCGUAAUCAUUAGUUUUUUAAUUGGAAUCUUGUAUGAAUGGUUAGACAAGAGAAACUCUGUCUCUUUAUUAAAAAUUGAAUUUAACUUUUAAGUGAAAAGGCUUAAAUUAGUUAAAGGGACGAUAAGACCCUAUAAAGCUUUAAUAUAGAAUGCCAUUUGGUUGAAUUUUUUAUAAAAGUUUCGUGGCAUAGUUUAUUUUAUUGGGGCGAUAAGAGUAAAAUGAUUUUUAACUGCUUGAAUUUAGAUACAUAAAUUAUUGUAAUAGAUAAGUAAGAGAUCCUUGAUAAAGAUUAUAAGUUUAAGUUACUUUAGGGAUAACAGCGUUAUUCUUUUUGAGAGUACAUAUCGAAAAAAGAGUUUGCGACCUCGAUGUUG
rnacentral:rRNA from 1 species